rnacentral:tRNA from 1 species
GGAGACGUAAUUCCUUUUCUUUAAGGCAGUUACGUGUGGAGAGUAAAGAAUCUUCGGACGGGGGUUCGACUCCCCCCGCCUCCACCA